rnacentral:rRNA from 1 species
UACGAAGGGAGCUAGCGUUGUUCGGAAUCACUGGGCGUAAAGCGCACGUAGGCGGCUGUGUCAGUCAGGGGUGAAAUCCCGGAGCUCAACUUCGGAACUGCCUCUGAUACAGCACGUCUUGAGUCCGGAAGAGGUGGGUGGAAUUCCUAGUGUAGAGGUGAAAUUCGUAGAUAUUAGGAAGAACACCGGUGGCGAAGGCGGCCCACUGGUCCGGUACUGACGCUGAGGUGCGAAAGCGUGGGGAGCAAACAGG